AAAGUGGAAUGAAGCCAAGGAUGACUUGCCGGCAUUGAUUUCCUACCAAACUAUAGCAAGUUAGGUGGUUUCAUUUCCUGGUUUUUCCGGCAGGUUAUCUUUGGCUAUAUUUCGCUUUUU
rfam:Phaseolus vulgaris cultivar G19833 chromosome 9, whole genome shotgun sequence.